GCGGGGUGACCCGGGGAAGGGGCGCGCACAGAGACAGAGGGAGCCAGCCGGGCCCCACGGUGUCCUCGGACGCCUCCGAAAUCUCCCUGCGUGUUUGUUUCUUCGGAGCUUCACCGGAGCCUGACUCUGGAACCGGCCUGUCUGCCUGCUGCAGUCUGCACAUCUUCACAAUGAAAUCUUCACAAGCUCAGAACCAUCAACUUGCUACACUGUGUUCCUCCAGUGCCCAGUUCACAGGAAGCACUCAAGAGUAGGAUCAAUUGUUAUCAACCUCUAGCAGAUUAUUGAAUAGACGGUCGUUACAUGAAACUGACACUCAGUUCUUCAUGGUCCACGAUAGUUCUUAUAUCCAGAAAACGUACUUACGUUAUCAACUCUGACUCCAUAAGACAACUUUGCAAAGUCUUGGCUCAUAACUAUUAGUGAAAUGGUGAAAAAUCAGACAAUGGUCACAGAGUUCCUCCUACUGGGAUUUCUCCUGGGCCCAAGGAUUCAGAUGCUCCUCUUUGGGCUCUUCUCCCUGUUCUAUGUCUUCACCCUGCUGGGGAAUGGGACCAUCCUGGGGCUCAUCUCACUGGACUCCAGACUCCACACCCCCAUGUACUUCUUCCUCUCACACCUGGCCGUCGUCAACAUCGCCUAUGCCUGCAACACAGUGCCCCAGAUGCUGGUGAACCUCCUGCAUCCAGCCAAGCCCAUCUCCUUUGCUGGCUGCAUGACAUAGACCUUUCUCUUUUUGAGUUUUGCACAUACUGAAUGCCUCCUGU
rnacentral:lncRNA from 1 species